UACGUAGGGUGCAAGCGUUGUCCGGAAUUAUUGGGCGUAAAGAGCUCGUAGGCGGUCUGUCGCGUCGGAUGUGAAAACCCAGGGCUCAACCCUGGGCCUGCAUUCGAUACGGGGCAGACUAGAAUGUUCGGUGAGGGGAGACUGGAAUUCCUGGGUGUAGCGGUACGGAAAUGCGCAGAUAUCAGGGAGAACACCGGUGGCGAAGGCGGU
rnacentral:rRNA from 1 species